rnacentral:rRNA from 1 species
UACGUAGGCAGCAAGCGUUGUUCGGAAUUACUGGGCGUAGAGAGUGUGUAGGCGGUGCUCCAAGUCUGGUGUGAAAUCUCCCGGCUCAACUGGGAGGGUGCGCUAGAAACUGGAAUGCUAGAGGAUGGGAGAGGUAAGCGGAAUUCCUGGUGUAGCGGUGAAAUGCGUAGAUAUCAGGAGGAACACCUGUGGUGUAGACAGCUUACUGGACCAUUUCUGACGCUGAGACACGGAAGCGUGGGUAGCAAACAGG